rnacentral:miRNA from 1 species
AUAAGGUAGAGAUAUUGUUGUCU